ensembl:lncRNA
GAGAGGGAGAGAGACAGAGGGAGAGAGAGAGAGAGAGAGAGAGAGAGAGAAGGAGAUAGAAGGAGAGAGAGAGAGAGAGAGAGAAGGAGAGAGAAGGAGAGAGAGAGAGAGGGAGAGAGAGACAGAGAAGAAGAAGAAGGAGAGAGAAGGAGAAAGAAGGAGAGAGAGAGAAAUAUGGCUGUUUUUCCUGUUUAACAAUCCCUACUCUAAACAAUUCCAGGAGGAAAGUGUGAGUCUCCAAGGUGGAUUUUGGACACAGAUUUAUGCCCCUAUCCCAGCCAGGGACAAUCACCCAACCAUCAUAUUCACUAAUAUGCUGCACCAAGGCAGAGAGAAAUUUGCAUUAUAAUUGUAAAGCCAAAUUCAAACCACUCAUACAUGUUCCAUACAUAACUACAAUUACAAGAGUAUGUGUACAACUGGGGCAGAAUAUUUAAGUGUGAUCUGUAUGCUGAUUGGAAUACAUGCUAUUGUCUUAGAGGACAAUAAUAUACACAGAUGUUUGAUUUUAUGGUUACUGCAUAUAGUAUGUCCCCAACAGUACAUGUGGAGGAAGCAUAUCUGAACUACAGGUAUUGGGAGGAAGACAAAAUCCUCAACAGCUUCUUUGACCAAAAUGGAAACAUAUUGUUAAGAUGGUCUGUAAUAAGGAGAGCAAAUCUGUAUGGCAACACAUCCUGUCUGGACUUUACCCGGGCAGUGGCACACUAUCUCUGUGACAUGUGUUAUGUAGUUUGGGGUAUAGGAGAAAUCAAUUAGAAACUCAAUGCAUACAUACAAGUGUUGUUGAAUAUGAAAUAUAUACAGUUGAAGUAGGGAAGUUUACAUACACUUAGGUUGGAGUCAUUAAAACUUGUUUUUCAACCACUCCACACAUUUCUUGUUAACAAACUAUAGUUUUGGCAAGUUGGUUAGGACAUCUACUUUGUGCAUGAAACAAGUAAUUUUUUCAACAAAUGUUUACAGAAAGAUUAUUUCACUUAUAAUUCACUGUAUCACAAUUCCAGUGGGUCAGAAGUUUACAUACAAUAAGUUGACUGUGCCUUUAAACAGCUUGGAAAAUUCCCAAAAAUUAUGUCAUGGCUUUAGAAGCUUCUGAUAGGCUAAUUGACAUAAUUUGAGUCAAUUGGAGGUGUACCUGUGGAUGUAUUUCAAGACCUACCUUCAAACUCAGUGCCUCUGCUUGACGUCAUGGGAAAAUCAAAAGAAAUCAGCCAAGAACCCAGAAAAAAAUUGAAGACGUCCACAAGUCUGGUUCAUCCUUGGGAGCAAUUUCCAAACGCCUGAAGGUACCACGUUCAUCUGUACAAACAAUAGUACGCAAGUAUAAACACCAUGGGACCACGCAGCCUUCAUACCGCUCAGGAAGGAGACGCGUUCUGUCUUCUAGAGAUGAACGUACUUUGGUGCGAAAAGUUCAAAUCAAUCCCAGAACAACAGCAAAGGACCUUGUGAAGAUGCUGGAGGAAUAGAUGGAAUUAGAUGGUAUCAUGAGGCAGGAAAAUGAUGUGGAUAUAUUGAAGCAACAUCUCAAGACAUCAGUCAGGAAGUUAAAGCUUGGUCACAAAUGGGGCUUCCAAAUGGACAAUGACCCCAAGCAUACUUCCAAAGUUGUGGCAAAGUGGCGUAAGGACAGACAAAGUCAAGGUAUUGGAGUGGCCAUCACAAAGCCCUGACCUCAAUACCAUAGAAAGUUUGUGGGCAGAACUUAAAAAGCGUGUGUGAGCAAGGAGGCCUACAAACCUGAUUCAGUUACACCAGCUCUGUCAGGAGGAAUGGGCCAAAAUUCACCCAACUUAUUGUGGGAAGCUUGUGGAAGUUAAACAAUUUAAAGGCAAUGCUAUCAAAUACUAAUGGAGUAUGUAAACUUCUGACCCACUGGGAAUGUGAUGAAAGAAAUAAAAGCUGAAAUAAAUCAUUCUCUCUAUGAUUAUUCUAACAUUUCACAUUCUUAAAAUAAAGUGGUGAUCCUAACGGACCUAAAACAAGGAUUAUUUUACUGGAAUUAAAUGUCAGGAAUUGUGAAAAACUGAGUUUAAAUGUAUUUGGCUAAGGUGUAUGUAAACUUCUGACUUCAACUGUAAUUACAUAAAGAUAAAGGUAGGGUUGAAGCCGCCCUUUGUAAAACAUGUUUCUCAAGAAAUAAAUCACAUCAUCACAUAAAAGCAGGUCUGGUUGAGCAAGCAAAAAUUAAUAGCAUCUGGGGAUGUUACAGCAGUAUGAUGGUAUAGGAGUAGGAUGUUAUAGGGCCAGGUGUUGUAGGAGUAGGAUGUUAUAGGAGUAGGGUAUUAUAGGAGUAGGAUGUUAUAGGGCCAGGUGUUAUAGGAGUAGGAUGUUAUAGGGCCAGGUGUUAUAGGGCCAGGUAUUAUAGGAGUAGGAUGUUAUAGGGCCAGGUGUUAUAGGGCCAGGUGUUAUAGGAGUAGAAUGUUAUAGGGCCAGGUGUUAUAGGGCCAGGUAUUACAGCAGUAGGAUGUUAUAGGAGUAGGAUGUUAUAGGGCCAGGUGUUAUAGGGCCAGGUAUUAUAGGAGUAGGAUGUUAUAGGGUUAUAGGGCCAGGUGUUACAGGGCCAGGUGUUAUAGGAGUAGGGUGUUAUAGGGCCAGGUGUUAUAAGAGUAGGAUGUUAUAGGGCCAGGUAUUAUAGGAGUAGGGUGUUAUAGGGCCAGGUGUUAUAAGAGUAGGAUGUUAUAGGGCCAGGUGUUAUAGGGCCAGGUGUUAUAGGAUUAGGAUGUUAUAGGGCCAGGUGUUAUAGGAGUAGGGUGUUAUAGGGCCAGGUGUUAUAUGGCCAGGUGUUAUAGGAGUAGGAUGUUAUAGGGGUAGGUGUUAUAGGAGUAGGGUGUUAUAGGAGUAGGGUGUUAUAGGAGUAGGUGUUAUAGGAGUAGGGUGUUAUAGGGCCACGUGUUAUAGGAAUACAUUUUACAGCAUUAGAUAUACAUUUAUGGACUGAGUUCAAAAAUUAUUUUUUAAAUCUUUGGACAUUUUUUAGGAGCUGAAUGAAAGUACAUGAUGGAGAUGUAUUCGAACAUGUGUCUGUGUAUCGAUCUGACAUAUAAUUCAGAUAUAUCGGAUAUAUCGAUAUAAUUCAGUCUAUUUGUCAUCACCAUCUUUUGUAUUGUAGUAUUUGGUGUAAUUUCCCUCCUAUGUCCCUUUAGUUUUGUAUGCUGGAGAUGUGAAAGGAAUGUGUUAAGUAUUUUUUUUUUUUGCGGGCAUAUGGCACAACUAUUACAGUCUAGUUAGAGUUUGUGCACAUAAGAUUCAGAGACACUUAUAAACAGGGUCUAUAUGAAUCAACAACAUGGUGUCACGUCACGAUAGAAAGACACACACAUAGUAUAAACACACAGUACAAGUAGUAGUACACAGACAUCAUUUCAAUGGCUUCAUCAUAUUUCUCCUUGUCUUUUCUUUGCGUAUACACUUGUAUACAUGUUAGGAUACAGUUGGUGAGAAGGGUUUAGACACAUAGGUAGACACAUAGGUAGACACAUAGGUAGACACAUAGGUAGACACAUAGAUAGAUCGCUUAACAAAAUUAUGUUUUUUUCUUUUCAGAAAACAAACGUUAUCAUUUUUUUUGCAGUUGAAACAAUAUGGCUUUAACUAGUGAAAACCCUAUCAGACUUUUUUUUUUUUUUUAAGUUAAGAAUAAUUUACUCAUAACUUAUGAUUAUUGAAAUGUUUUUGUUCAUUUUUUGGAAUAUAUCAAUCUUCAAUGUCAUGUAGCCAUGUACGUUAUUAGAAAGAUAUGAGAAUUUCUUACAAUAAAACUUCACAGGAUUUGGUCUUUGGAAAGUGAAAAUGUAUGUUGCCAGCCUAUUUCUACUGCUAUCAACAAGACCAAAUCUGGACCACUUCCUUAGUUCUGGACCACUUCCUUACUUCUGGACCACUUCCUUACUUCUGGACCACUUCCUUACUUCUGGACCACUCCCUUACUUCUGGACCACUCCCUUACUUCUGGACCACUCCCUUACUUCUGGACCACUUCCUUACUUCUGGACCACUUCCUUACUUCUGGACCACUUCCUUACUUCUGGACCACUUCCUUACUUCUGGACCACUUCCUUAGUUCUGGACAGUUUCCUUAUUUACUAGUGACAAAAGAAAUUAUCGUUUUUUUCCCCCAGUAUCUUUGGAUUUGAUAUUAAUGAAUUCAAACAGUAAUUAGUUAAGCAUGUACUUUGUGUAAAACAGACAUGUGGUAUGGGAGGUGAGUAGUGAAAUAAUGACAUAGGCAGUAUUGGCUUCCUUCAAUGUAAUGCAGUUCUGAUUAUUUCCUUGUCUUUGGCAUUAACCACCAACUGCUAAAUAUGAUGUUGACUAAAUAAUUUUUAUAGAACUGUGCUUGUUUUUCUUCUUCUCUACACUGAAUAUGAAUCGUGUGUAUUCUAUGGAUAAUCUGAGUGUAUAAUGUUGAAUAUGAAUCGUGUGUACAGUAUUCUAUGGAUAAUCUGAGUGUAUAAUGUUGAAUAUGAAUCGUGUGUAUUCUAUGGAUAAUCUGAGUGUAUAAUGUUGAAUAUGAAUCGUGUGUACAGUAUUCUAUGGAUAAUCUGAGUGUAUAAUGUUGAAUAUGAAUCGUGUGUACAGUAUUCUAUGGAUAAUCUGAGUGUAUAAUGUUGAAUAUGAAUCGUGUGUACAGUAUUCUAUGGAUAAUCUGAGUGUAUAAUGUUGAAUAUGAAUCGUGUGUAUUCUAUGGAUAAUCUGAGUGUAUAAUGUUGAAUAUGAAUCGUGUGUACAGUAUUCUAUG